rnacentral:rRNA from 1 species
UGGGGAAUUUUGGACAAUGGGCGAAAGCCUGAUCCAGCAAUGCCGCGUGUGUGAAGAAGGCCUUCGGGUUGUAAAGCACUUUUGUCCGGAAAGAAAUCCCUGGCUCUAAUACAGUCGGGGGAUGACGGUACCGGAAGAAUAAGCACCGGCUAACUACGUGCCAGCAGCCGCGGUAAUACGUAGGGUGCGAGCGUUAAUCGGACUUACUGGGCGUAAAGCGUGCGCAGGCGGUCUGUUAAGACAGAUGUGAAAUCCCCGGGCUCAACCUGGGAACUGCAUUUGUGACUGGCAGGCUAGAGUAUGGCAGAGGGGGGUAGAAUUCCACGUGUAGCAGUGAAAUGCGUAGAGAUGUGGAGGAAUACCGAUGGCGAAGGCAGCCCCCUGGGCCAAUACUGACGCUCAUGCACGAAAGCGUGGGGAGCAAACA